rnacentral:rRNA from 1 species
GAUGAACGCUGGCGGCGUGCCUAAUACAUGCAAGUCGAACGAGGUGCUUGAGUAGCAAUACGAGAGUAUCCUAGUGGCGAACGGGUGAGUAACGCGUUGGUGACCUACCCCAAAGUGUGGGAUAACAGUCCGAAAGGAUUGCUAAUACCCGCAUGUCGGUCUUCGGGUUUAGAACCGAUGACGAAAGCAGCAAUGCGCUUUGGGAGGGACCUGCGUCCCAUCAGCAGUUGGUGAGGUAACGGCUCACCAAGGCGACGAC